CAGUCGCCGCGGUAAGACAGAGGAUGCAAGCGUUAUCCGGAAUUAUUGGGCGUAAAGCGCGCGCAGGUGGUUUAAUAAGUCUGAUGUGAAAGCCCCCGGCUCAACCGGGGAGGGUCAUUGGAGACUGGGAAACUUGAGUGCAGAAGAGGAGAGUGGAAUUCCACGUGUAGCGGUGAAAUGCGUAGAGAUGUGGAGGAACACCAGUGGCGAAGGCGACUCUCUGGUCUGUAACUGACGCUGAGGAGCGAAAGCGUGGGGAGCGAACAGGAUUAGAUACCCCAGUAGUCCCUGUCUCUUAUAA
rnacentral:rRNA from 1 species